AUGAGAAUGGUUUUCGCAGCUUCCAUCGUGUACGUUUUCCUCGUAUUCCACGUCGUUCUCUUAGCUACCACGGCGGUCGCCACAACCACCACGCCCUUCCCAACGUCUGGCGUCACCAACGCCACGUCGGUGGCCAACAGCAACACCGCAAACGGCGUCGAGUCCCGUGCAGCGACGGCGGCGCUCAACAGCUCGGAUCAGUACUCGAAUCAGUACAUCUGCUACCUCUGCCGCCAGCGUAACACCCUGAUGAUCAAGUGGUGUCCCCUCUACAAGGACGACUGCCACCUCGCAUGCCUGUCCUCCACGUCCCCUACCCGCCACCCCCAGCUGUACCCCUCCGCCGACGGCGAAGGUAGGAAGAGCACGCUGGGAACCGGCCCUGGCGGCUCGGACCCCGACGACUGCUACGUCAUGAAGCUGUAUCCGGAUGGCAGAUGGGUCAUAACCGUGGCGGUCAGCUGCAAGGCGGUCGCGGGCUGCUACCUUGUGUGCAGCAAUGGAGACGCGCCGCUUGGGAGCAGAGCCGACGACACCACCCCGGCCGUGGCCAGGGGGCCGCCACUGCCCCGCGCCUCCGAAUUCCAGCGGUGCGGUGAUCAGCUCCCGGCGGCAGGCAACCGCGUCUAG
rnacentral:rRNA from 1 species